rnacentral:tRNA from 1 species
GGUGUUGUGACGGAAUUGGAUAGACGUAGGGCUGUCAGCCCGAUGGGAAACCAGUGUGAGUUCGAAUCUCAUCAACGCCUA